CAGUCGCCGCGGGAAUACGUAGGGUCCGAGCGUUGUCCGGAAUUAUUGGGCGUAAAGGGCUCGUAGGCGGUUUGUCGCGUCGGGAGUGAAAACCAGCAGCUUAACUGUUGGCCUGCUUUCGAUACGGGCAGACUUGAGGCAUUCAGGGGAGAACGGAAUUCCUGGUGUAGCGGUGAAAUGCGCAGAUAUCAGGAGGAACACCGGUGGCGAAGGCGGUUCUCUGGGAAUGUUCUGACGCUGAGGAGCGAAAGUGUGGGGAGCGAACAGGAUUAGAUACCCCAGUAGUCCCUGUCUCUUAUAC
rnacentral:rRNA from 1 species